AGUGAACGCUGGCGGUAGGCCUAACACACGCAAGUCGAACGGCAGCACAGGAGAGCUUGCUCUCUGGGUGGCGAGUGGCGGACGGGUGAGGAAUACAUCGGAAUCUACUCUGUCGUGGGGGAUAACGUAGGGAAACUUACGCUAAUACCGCAUACGACCUACGGGUGAAAGCAGGGGACCUUCGGGCCUUGCGCGAUUGAAUGAGCCGAUGUCGGAUUAGCUAGUUGGCGGGGUAAAGGCCCACCAAGGCGACGAUCCGUAGCUGGUCUGGGAGGAUGAUCAGCCACACUGGAACUGAGAGACGGUCCAGACUCCUACGGGAGGCAGCAGUGGGGAUUAUUGGACAAUGGGCGCAAGCCUGAUCCAGCCAUACCGCGUGGGUGAAGAAGGCCUUCGGGUAGUAAAGCCCUUUUGUUGGGAAAGAAAUCCAGCUGGCUAAUACCCGGUUGGGAUGACGGUACCCAAAGAAUAAGCACCGGCUAACUUCGUGCCAGCCGCCGCCGUAA
rnacentral:rRNA from 1 species